AGAGUUUGAUCCUGGCUCAGGACGAACGCUGGCGGCGUGCCUAAUACAUGCAAGUAGAACGCUGAAGGAGGAGCUUGCUUCUCUGGAUGAGUUGCGAACGGGUGAGUAACGCGUAGGUAACCUGCCUGGUAGCGGGGGAUAACUAUUGGAAACGAUAGCUAAUACCGCAUAACAGUAGAUGUUGCAUGACAUUUGCUUAAAAGGUGCAAUUGCAUCACUACCAGAUGGACCUGCGUUGUAUUAGCUAGUUGGUGGGGUAACGGCUCACCAAGGCGACGAUACAUAGCCGACCUGAGAGGGUGAUCGGCCACACUGGGACUGAGACACGGCCCAGACUCCUACGGGAGGCAGCAGUAGGGAAUCUUCGGCAAUGGACGGAAGUCUGACCGAGCAACGCCGCGUGAGUGAAGAAGGUUUUCGAAUCGUAAAGCUCUGUUGUAAGAGAAGAACAGGUGUGAGAGUGGAAAGUUCACACUGUGACGGUAUCUUACCAGAAAGGGACGGCUAACUACGUGCCAGCAGCCGCGGU
rnacentral:rRNA from 1 species